rnacentral:rRNA from 1 species
GAUGAAUGCUGGCGGCAGGCCUAACACAUGCAAGUCGAGCGCCCCGCAAGGGGAGCGGCAGACGGGAUAGUAACACGUGGGAACGUACCUUUCAGUUCGGAACAACCAAGGGAAACUUUGGCUAAUACCGAAUACGCCCGUAAGGGGCAAGAUUUAUCGCUGAAAGAUCGGCCCGCGUCUGAUUAGCUAGUUGGUGAGGUAAUGGCUCACCAAGGCGACGAUCAGUAGCUGGUCUGAGAGGAUGAUCAGCAUCACUGGGACUGAGAGACGGCCCAGACUCCUACGGGAGGCAGCAGUGGGGAAUAUUGGAAAAGGGGCGCAAGCCUGAUCGAGCCAUGCCGCGUGAGUGAUGAAGGCCUUAGGGUUGUAAAGCUCUUUCGUCAGGGAAGAUAAUGACGGUACCUGAAGAAGAAGCCCCGGCUAACUUCGUGCCAGCCGCCGCCGUAAGAC